UACGUAGGGGGCGAGCGUUAUCCGGAGUUACUGGGCGUAAAGCGCUUGUAGGCGGUCCACCAAGUUUGGGGUGACAGUUGCCGACUUAAUCGGCAAAGUGCCUCAAAGACUGGCGGACUUGAGGGCCACAGAGGGACAUGGAACUCCAGGUGUAGUGGUGAAAUGCGUAGAUAUCUGGAAGAACACCAAAGGCGAAGGCAGUGUCCUGGGUGGUCGCUGACGCUGAGAGGCGAAAGCCAGGGGAGCGAACGGG
rnacentral:rRNA from 1 species